UCAAAAUUCUAUGACCCUUUCAUGCAUCCGGAAUUCCCACUGUAUACAAAUGACAUGAUAAGGGAAUAAGGGAAAAAAUGGGUAAGAUCGCCGAAAGGACGUGGACUUUCAAAUAUGAAAUCACAAGUACCUGUCAAUUGAACUGACGGAUGACAUUGAGUGUGCUGAGUUGGAUAAUGCAUUCAUAUUUAUUCUUUGCCAUUUUAGUCCUUUCUGAUUAAUAUGGCUAACCAAACCGAAGUGUUAAAAUGUGUUCAUAUCUGGAGCCUUUGUGGGUGAUAGGCUGCUUAGCACAUUGUAUCCCUAAAAAGAAUGGUCAUGGUUUUCUGCUCGGUUUUUUCCCAAUAAUUUUGGUUUUUUUUGGAGCUCACAGAUUAGCGUGAGUUGGGACAAGAUGCAAAACCAUCAGCCCUUGAUAUAGAAAAAUAGGAUAUGCUUUCUUGGCCCUACAUUCAAGGCUAAUCCAAACAAAUCAGUUUCAAGCUGAAAUGCUUGCAUGUGGAAGCAAGAAAAUAGGAAGGUAGCCUACAUAAUUGGGUCUCCACACAUGGGAUUCUCCAACUGGUGUGCCUAAUGGCUUUGGCUGUCAUUACAACUACAAGGACCACCAAUCUGUAAAGAAGAUUGACUCUGUCUCCCUGUCAAUGUCUUGAAGAUCAAGUGGGUAUUGAAGCUUUUUUGUGGGUUGCUGUUAUCUGGUUGCUUUUGCCUUGACUUCUUAGCAUAUUGUUAGACUUUGCUGCUGCUGUAAUCAUGGUGGACUUCAAAGGAAAGACAGCUGAUCUUAAGAAAUUCUUUGGCAAGGGUUUCAAGUCAGUGAAGAAUGUGUUCAAGACUGGUUGGGAGAAGGUUAAAACUAUAAAGAAGAAAAAAGAGCCUGCAGCUGUAUAGGCAAUCUGAAUCAUGGGGGUUUUCAAGAUGUUGAAAGUAUUCAGUCAUAACUAUGUCCAUGGAUAUUUGGGCCUUGGAGGAUCUGCCAGGUUGGCCUAGUUCUUUUGUUGGUGGAUUUUGUAGGAGCUGGCACUGUGCAGGUCUUCCAAGUUUAUUGUAUUUUUUUCAUUUGUUUUUAUCUUCUUGACUCUCAGUAUGGUUUUGUAGUGUAUUUAUAGUAAAAUAGGGUUUAAGGACUAUAUGUGCUUUGUACUCUGUAUUUUGACAUAUCGAUGUCCUGAUAUUUUAUGAA